AACCCUAGUCAAUAGACCUACGGCGUAAAACGUGUUUAAGGAACUCACCUAUAAAGUUAAACCUUAGCUAUGCUGUAAAAAGCUGCAGCUACUGUAAACUCUAAUACGAAAGUAACUUUAAAAUACCUGAACACACGACAGCUAAGACCCAAACUGGGAUUAGAUACCCCACUAUGCUUAGCCCUAAACAUAAAGAGCCCACCAACAAGGCUCUUCGCCAGAGUACUACUAGCCAAAGCUUAAAACUCAAGGGACUUGGCGGUGCUUCAUAUCCAUCUAGAGGAGCCUGUUCUAUAAUCGAUAAACCCCGAUAAACCUCACCAACCCUUGCCAACU
rnacentral:rRNA from 1 species